rnacentral:rRNA from 1 species
AGCUCCACUAGCGUAUAUUAAAGUUGCUGCAGUUAAAAAGCUCGUAGUCGGAUCUCGGGAUCGUACCCCCUCGGUUUUCGUUGGGCCAUGCCUCGCAAGGGGUUGUGGACUCGCGGGGCCGUUGGGGUCUCAUCCAGAGGGUCUCUGGUAUUUCGCCGGGGUUUUACCUUCUGCGAUGGCCCGCCGUUGUGUUUGGGUGGGUGUCCUUAAUUGGAUGCCCGCUUUCGAACGCGACCAUUUUACCUUGAACAAAUCGGAGUGCUUAAAGCAGGCUCCACCACGCUCGUACGGUAGCGCAUGGAAUAAUGGAAGAGGACCCGCUUCCGCUUCUGUUGGUCUCACGGAGGCAGGUAAUGAUCAAGAGGAACGGACGGGGGCGGAGGUAUGGCUCGGCGAGAGGUGAAAUUCUUGGACCCCAGCCAGACCUACGAGAGCGAAAGCAUCCGCCAAGGAUGUUUCCA